rnacentral:rRNA from 1 species
AUGAUACGCGAAGAACCUUACCAGGUCUUGACAUCCCUUGCAAAGCUAUGGAGACAUAGUGGAGGUUAUCAAGGAGACAGGUGGUGCAUGGUUGUCGUCAGCUCGUGUCGUGAGAUGUUGGGUUAAGUCCCGCAACGAGCGCAACCCUUAUUGCUAGUUACCAUCAUUCAGUUGGGGACUCUAGCGAGACUGCCAGUGAUAAACUGGAGGAAGGUGGGGAUGACGUCAAAUCAUCAUGCCCCUUAUGACCUGGGCUACAAACGUGAUACAAUGGCUGAAACAAAGGGCAGCGAAGCAGUGAUGUGGAGCGAAACCCAAAAAAGCAGUCUCAGUUCGGAUUGAAGUCUGCAACUCGACUUCAUGAAGUCGGAAUCGCUAGUAAUCGCGGAUCAGAACGCCGCGGUGAAUACGUUCUCGGGGUUU